CCCAAACUAAGGGUCUGACCAAUGUAUAAGCAGCACCUUCAGCAGUUGCUUGCUAAAGCUCUGUCUGCUGAAAGCUACAAAAACCCUAUUGCAUGCUGCUGUUACUAGUGCUGCCACAUACAUCACCCAAAUCUGUAACUGGAGACCCAUGAAGUGACUGCAGAGGGGAGAAGCAGACUAAUGAGGUGGUUUCACUAAGUAUAUUCCGUGAAAUUCUUCAGGGAUCCUUUGCCACGUGAUAAGGUGAAGCCGAGGUUCAGUUUGAAAUCUAUUUUUUUAGGGCCAAUCCCAAAGCUGAAUCUGUCGCGAUUUCUGUCCUCAUGAUGCCUCAUGUAUCCAUCCUUAUAUCCAACCUGGACCUUAAGCAGCAACCAUCAUCUGAGAGCUGAGUCUGUUUUCUCUAUGCUCUCUCCUUCCCAAAGCUAACUGAAGGCAAACAGCCAUUUCAUUUCCAAGACACUGGUUUGCACUCAGAUGCCAGAGAUAGCAGUCAGUGAAGUUAUACAGUCCAUCCCUGUGAGUACAGUUGUGGAAGUCCCAAGUACUGGGAUUCCUCCAGUCCCAGUGAACCUUUCGUGACCUGGUGCAUCUCAAAAUAUUUCCUGGCUUCACUGUAACUGUUGCCUAUCUUAAUUUUAUCUCCUGCCUUUAGUAGUGGUCUCAUUUUUGUUUUUUUCAAUGGAGUUAGCAUCCUCCCUGGACUUGAAGUCUCCUAUUGCUCUGCUAAGUUAAUCACUUAUUUCCAUACACCUCCCUGUUCCUGCUCCCAAGCCAUCACAGUGCUGCCCUCUGAAUUACUGGGAAUAUUGAGUAACAGGUGGGAUUCCAGUGGCUCAAAAUGAAAGCAUUAUUCAAACCAGACAGCAGCAUCGCUCCUCACGACAGGGAAUCACCCGUAAGAACAAGACAGUGCUAUUGCUUGUGUGCAUUCUGCAGAGGAAACAAAUCAAAGCAGUAUCGAAUGCGGUGCUCAGAGCAAAUUAACGUAGGUCACCAAGAACUUUGGAUACACUGAGCAUUUUUCUCAUUGACUCCAGAGCGUCGGGUCAAACAGGUUGGAGAAUUGCCCAAUGAAUGGCUACGCUGUCGUAUUGUAGCUCAUGUUCUCCAAAUGGUACUAAGUAGCAUCAUGCUUAAAAGACGAGAUCGAGGGUAAAAGUGCCAGAAUAGACAACUUGACUUAAAAUUCAUUCUAGACUUUUUUCUUUGUAUUUGUAACAACAACAAAAAAGAAAAAGCAUAAUAGAAUAAAACUUUUUCAUGCAUAGAAGUACUUUCUCCAGCUUAUCAUCAUCUGGUGCUCAGGCUCUCUGCUCUGACUCUCUGCUUCAAAGUCCUAAAUCCUGGAGUUAGAUAUUCUCUCUGCAGAAUGCUGCACUUCCAAUAUCUACUGUUUCCUUUAGUAUUUGCUCUUUUGGACUGGAGAAAGCUGUA